rnacentral:rRNA from 1 species
AGUUCCGACCUGCACGAAUGGCGUAACGAUGGCCAUACUGUCUCCAACCGAGACUCAGUGAAAUUGAAAUUGCUGUGAAGAUGCAGUGUACGCGCGGCUAGACGGAAAGACCCCGUGCACCUUUACUACAACUUUGCAGUGGCAAUAGAGUGGAGAUGUGCAGGAUAGGUGGGAGCCUUUGAAGCGGUAGCGCCAGUUACCGUGGAGGCGUCCUUGAGAUACCACCCUUCUGCAUUCUAUUGUCUAACCGCGGCCAGUGAACCCUGGUCCGGGACCCUGCAUGGUGGGUAGUUUGACUGGGGCGGUCUCCUC